UUUAAGGUCUAAUCUGCCCUAUGAGGGGUUAAAUGGCCGCGGUACUUUGACCGUGCAAAGGUAGCAUAAUAAUUAGUUUUUUAAUUGGAAGCUGGAAUGAACGAUUGAACGAGAAGAUAGCUGUCUCUAUUUAAUUUUAUUAGAAUUUUAUUUUUGAGUAAGAAAGCUUAAAUGGUUUUGAAAGACGAGAAGACCCUAUAGAGUUUUAUAUUUUAGUUUAUAUUGGUUUUGUAGAAAAUUUUGGUAGAUUUAAGUUAGAAUAUUUUGUUGGGGUGAUGGGAAAAUUGAUUGAACUUUUUUUUUAAGUUUUUCAUUGAUAUAUGAUUAUUUGAUCCAUUUUUAAUGAUUAUAAGUUUAAAUUACCUUAGGGAUAACAGCGUAAUUUUUUUUUAGAGUUCUUAUCGAAAGAAGAGAUUGCGACCUCGAUGUUGGAUUAAAAUAGGUAUUUGGUGUAGGGGCUAAACCACUAGGUCUGUUCGACCUUUAAAAUUUUACA
rnacentral:rRNA from 2 species